ensembl:lncRNA
GAAGUGUCUGUAUAGUUUCAUAGGGUGGAGGCAUGGGUCCUUCUGCUCGUUUGGUUUGGAUAACUUGUGGGUCAUUCAGAGAAAAUGGCUAUGGACUUUGUGAGGAAGCUUUUUCCAAAAGCAGGAUUGAGAAAGGACAUAGAAGACUGGAGAGUAAAUACACUGAAAUGAUUCACACCACCUCAAAUGAGUAUCACAGAUGAACCAAUGAGAUCCCUGAUAAUUCACAUUAGAGCUAGACUGAGGAGAGAUGGGCAAGUCUAGAAGACGAUUCCUCUCGGGGUGAUUUGAGAUGUUUUUGUGGACUUUCAUGACCACUGUCUUCAUGUCUGUAGACAUAAAUUAUUGUCUAAGUCUGGGACAAGAAGUGGAUCCAGCCACACCUGGACUCCUUCCUUCCAUGGUUCAAGGAGUUUAGAAACAAAUGGGGUACACUCUGAAUCUCAUGACUCAACAGGAGGAUCUCCUAUGUGUGUUUAACCCUACUCUCUCUGCAACAAAUAAUCAAGUCUAUCCAGCCAUCUUGUAUCUCAUUAAGUUGAUGCUAAAUGACUACAUUGUAUCAAUGAAUGUAUUCCUGCUUCUCUCAUGAGUGAAGUGCACAGUGUAGUUGUUUCCAUCUGCACUGUGACCCUCCAAAGAACUGAGAAAUUUCUCUGUAAUGUAGCAGGGCUGCUUUUAUUUUUGCCUUAGAACUCCCUUUACCACCUCCUAUUGACUCCUACUUCUUGCACUAUGAAGUAAAGGAGUGGCAGAUAUGAAUCUGGAUUUAAAAGAGGUCUGGUGUAAAGAGCUAUCAGCUGGUGACUGGUCCAAAACCUGAGGAAUGACCAAAAUGUAAUGGUAGCCAGUUUUCAGUUUUCUUAAAGUGGCUAGAGUUUGGAGAAAUAGAAUUUUCCUAAAAGUAAAUUUUGGCAGUGCAGAAGCUUGUUUCUUGCUACAAACUUAGCUAAGAUUAAAAAAUUGUGUAUAUUGAGGGGUGAAAGUCCGUGAUUAAGAAGUAACAGAUCCUGUACAUGCUACAGCAGAGGUGCAACCUUUGGUGACCCGUAAGUAGGACUAGCCAGGUUUGUCUAGGGCUGCACAAGACCCACAGACAAGAAUGCGAUAGCCUAAUGUGACUUGGUGACAGAUAGAGAUGACUUGUAAGUCCUGAAAGUCAGGACUCCAGGCAGUGGCUUGUCUCAUUUGCACCUGAGGCUAUCUGCAAGUAAUCCAUGGUUUGGAAUGAGAUCCUUGGAUAAUGUGGAUCUCUUUGUGGCUGCUGCUUUAGCCCCAUUCCACAUCAAACACCCUAUCACAUGGCCGUGAAGCAGUUGAAAUGCAUGAAUUUUUCUCAGAUAGUGCUCCCAGCUGGUGAAGAAAAGGAGAAUGGGCAGUGUGUGCAGACCUGUAAAAGACUGCUGCCAAAGCUCCCUCCCUGCCUUCACCAUGUAGCUUUUUGUGCUGUAUAAAGAGGAAAUGUGUUAGCAAGUCUUAUUGAUACCUAACUCGGGUUGCCAUAAACCCCGAGCACGCACUGAGCUGCAGGUCCCACGGAGCAGAUGGUGCCUCUGUGGGUGGUGAUGAGAAAGCAGCACUUGAACUAUUUCAGAGCUUCUGAGAGAGCGGUUGUGCCAAGGACAUGUAACUGGGGGAUGAAGGGGAAAGCUAGCAGUAAAAUCCUUAUGUACCUGGGGAAGCUUAGAGGCAAGUGGGUUCAAUGUAGUGCCCAAAAGCAUCGGGCUGGGAACUACUCCUUCUGUGAAACGCACAACCAAGACACUGGUCUGUUUUCUUUAGUUCACCUGCAGGAAGUUGAAAAUGCUAGCCACAUGGCAGCAGAGUGAAAAAUGUUAUCGCUGCCUUUGAAAACCAUAGGACGUGGAACAGAGAGGGUUUUCCCCUUGGCUCACACGCCAGGAGCGGUAUGUAGCCUUGUUUUGUAAGAAGUACAGAAAUCUUGCAGCGCUGGAAAAGAAAAUCUUACCUGCAAAAAAAAAAAAUGGGAGAGCCAGGAAUGUAUUAUGCAGGAAUGAGUCUAGCCAAAGUAAGCAAAAUCUACACAACCCACACUUCCCAAAUUAUCUUCCUUUCCUGCUUAAUGCACUGUAAAUGAAAUUCAGUUGGACUUUUGACAUUAUUGUGGGCUGGACUUAUUCCCAUUUAAAUUGUACAUAGAUAGGAAUUGAUGAUAAAGCGAUACUGUUUGAACAAAUAGCUCACUUCCUUUGCAGUAAUUACUGUUGUUAAUGUAUUAAUAAUGAUAAUAAUGUACCGCAUUAAUAAUAGUGCCUUUUUUCACCAAGAAUCCUAACAUACAUGUGAAAUAAACUUGUGCUGUAUAUGU